rnacentral:rRNA from 1 species
GAUGAACGCUGACAGAAUGCUUAACACAUGCAAGUCGAUUCAAGUUACCUUCGGGUAAUGAGGAUGGCGGACGGGUGAGUAACGCGUAAGGAACUUGCCUCUUGGUCUGGGACAACUGUUGGAAACGACAGCUAAUACCGGAUAUUAUGAGAUUCUCGCAUGGGAAACUUAUGAAAGCUAUAUGCGCCAAGAGAGAGCCUUGCGUUCCAUUAGCUAGUUGGUGGGGUAACGGCCCACCAAGGCGACGAUGGAUAGCCGGCCUGAGAGGGUGAACGGCCACAAGGGGACUGAGACACGGCCCUUACUCCUACGGGAGGCGGCAGUGGGGAAUAUUGGACAAUGGGCCACAAGCCUGAUCCAGCAAUUCUGUGUGCACGAUGAAGGUCUUCGGAUUGUAAAGUGCUUUCAGUUGGGAAGAAGAAAGUGACGGUACCAACAGAAGAAGCGACGGCUAAAUACGUGCCAGCAGCCGCGGUAAUACGUAUGUCGCAAGCGUUAUCCGGAUUUAUUGGGCGUAAAGCGCGUCUAGGCGGAAAAAUAAGUCUGAUGUUAAAAUGCGGGGCUCAACUCCGUAUUGCGUUGGAAACUGUUUUUCUAGAGUACUGGAGAGGUGGGCGGAACUACAAGUGUAGAGGUGAAAUUCGUAGAUAUUUGUAGGAAUGCCGAUGGAGAAGUCAGCUCACUGGACAGANACUGACGCUGAA